GUCUAUGGCCAUGCCACCCUGAACGAGACUGAUUACGUCUGAUCUCGGAAGCUAAGCAGGGCGGGGCCUGGUUAGUACUUGGAUGGGAGACCACCUAGGAAGACCAGGUGCUGUAGGCG
rnacentral:rRNA from 1 species